rnacentral:rRNA from 1 species
GACGGAGGAUGCAAGUGUUAUCCGGAAUCACUGGGCGUAAAGCGUCUGUAGGUGGUCAAAUAAGUCAACUGUUAAAUCUUGAGGCUCAACCUCAAAAUCGCAGUCGAAACUAUAGACUAGAGUAUAGUAGGGGUAAAGGGAAUUUCCAGUGGAGCGGUGAAAUGCGUAGAGAUUGGAAAGAACACCGAUGGCGAAGGCACUUUACUGGGCUAUUACUAACACUCAGAGACGAAAGCUAGGGUAGCAAAUGGG